rnacentral:rRNA from 1 species
UGGGGAAUCUUGGACAAUGGGCGCAAGCCUGAUCCAGCCAUGCCGCGUGCAGGAUGGCGGUCCUAUGGAUUGUAAACUGCUUUUUGUACAGGAAGAAACAGUUCUACGUGUAGAACCUUGACGGUACGGUAAGAAUAAGGAUCGGCUAACUCCGUGCCAGCAGCCGCGGUAAUACGGAGGAUCCAAGCGUUAUCCGGAAUCAUUGGGUUUAAAGGGUCCGUAGGCGGUUAGAUAAGUCAGUGGUGAAAGCCCAUCGCUCAACGGUGGAACGGCCAUUGAUACUGUCUGACUUGAAUUAUUAGGAAGUAACUAGAAUAUGUAGUGUAGCGGUGAAAUGCUUAGAGAUUACAUGGAAUACCAAUUGCGAAGGCAGGUUACUACUAAUGGAUUGACGCUGAUGGACGAAAGCGUGGGUAGCGAACAGGAUUAGAUACCCCCGUAGUCCCUGAGCGGGCUGGCAAGGCGCAU